ACCAGCGAGUAGAGCAGAAGCAAAGGAUUGUGGGAGCGCCAGCAAGCAGAGCAGAGGCAAAGGAUUGUGGGAGCACCAGCGAGUAGAGCAGAGGCAAAGGAUUGUGGGAGCGCCAGCAAGCAGAGCAGAGGCAAAGGAUUGUGGGAGCGUCAGCAAAGUCCUUGACAGGACAGGAAGACAGGAGGACGCUGAAGUCAGAGCAAGUUUUCUUAUGGCCUAAACCUCCAGAGUAACAAAGAUUGGAACUUAGCACAAGCUGGCAAGUGGCCAAGAUCAGGAGAGAGACCAAAAAGUGACACAAUGUUAAUGAAUGGAGUAACUCACAAAACUAGAGCAAAAGUGGAAGUGGGGCUCUAGGAAUGUAUCAGCCCCUUUCCUAGAACAAUUAAAAUCCAGGAGACUUUGGAUCAUCUACGCUCACUAGUGAGCUGGAGGACCGUGGAGCAGACGGGACAGGCUACCUCUUCCGAACCUGUGCUGCUGCCAUGCUUCCAAACCUGUCUCAGGCUUGGAUGUUCCUGGAGUCCUCACCCACUGCAUGGUAAGGACUUGCUCCUCUGGGUGACCACCUUCUGUCGCACUUCCAGCCUGUGCCCCUCAGGAAGCACAUGAUGACAGGAAGGAGACCAUACAAGGAUUUGGGUUCAACUCUUAUCAACUCAGCAACUCUGGGUUAGCUGCGUGACUGACCUUCUCCAAGUAGAGAUUUUAAAGCUGCCUAAGUAAGGACCAAGCCAACGCAAGCUAUAAACUUCUCCCUUGCUCAUGAAUCUCCUAUCACUAGUCUUCACCUGGAAGAUUCAUCAAUGUCAAAAUCAAAAUCCUUAAAAGAUCACCCUGCUCCUCAGUUUUACUACCAUCUGCGAAAUGUAUGUGUCGGUGGCCUCUUUAAGCCACUGUGACUACUAACUGGGCUUGCAUGUGUACUUGUGCCUAAUAGGUGGCAGGUGUUAGCAGGGCGAGGAGUUGGAGUGAAUGAGCCGGUCGAUGACGAGUCUGGACUGUGUGAUUGAUCUGUCACUUGGCUCAGCUGUGCAAACCUGGGAGCAGUCAGAUUACAGAAACCAUUCAGAUUGAAGACACAGUCAUCCACAUGCCUCCAGCUCCUGAAACCGAAGACAAAGAACCAGGAGGAAAUGAGCUGCCUCCAGAGAGUAUCGUGCCUUGCAAACCCAUCCACUGCACAGAAAUGGAAGAGCUCUAAAAACUGGCAGUGUCUAUUUUAAAAAAAGAAAACACAUCCAAGGCUCCAGUCCUCCGAGGGAAGUGCCAGGCCUCUGCAGUGAUCAGGAAUUCAGCCAGACGGAGCCAAGGAGAGACAUUGUUCUCUCUGGGAAAGGAUGGCCAGCACCACGCACUGUCUCCACCACCCUCUGAGUCUAAAUUCUGCUGACACUUCCUGGACCUCCAAAGUCUGCAUUAGAAAGGGUUAUGUUUGGCUGAGAGACGCAGAGGGCAACUUAUCUGUCACAAGCAACAAGAAGCAUGGAACUGACACUCACUGCAUUAGGAGUGGCUAAUUUCUUAUCCUAACUUCCUUGACCUUUAUCUCUUGGUAACAAGAUGGCCACAGCACCUCCUGGGAUCUUAUCCCUAUUCCAGAAGAAAGAUUAUUGAACAGUAAAUAGCAUCUUCUUUGACUGACUUAGUCUUUGUUUAGGAAGAGAAGACCUUCCCUUUAAUUUAUACAUAUCUAUAUAUCUACGCUGUGCAUCAUUUAGUCUUCCUGAGUAUUUCACUUUUUACUCUGUAUCGUAAGAGAAGAAAUAGACAUUAAGUAACACAGCUGGUGUGCCACAUACACAGAUUUACAAAUCGGAAGGACCAAGCACCCUUGUGCCUUAAGAGAGGUACGCCUCACUCCACCCAUAUCUAGAACCCCUCCUAAGAACUACGGCUCUCUGCAGGGGAUGCCGCAGCACAGAGUCCUACUGUUCAGGAGAGCCAGACACUCCUACAGUAGGGCAUGCAGGGAACUCCACGGUGGUGGCUCAGUUCUGCUUACACAUACGAUUUUACAAGGGCUCUCUAACUGAAUAUUGUGUUCUCAACAUCAGACACGGUGCCUGGCCCAGUGUGAUGUUCUCAAUAAAAAACUCUCAAGUGGGUAAAUAUGAAACACUGCUCCUUCCUGUUAGCCAUACAUUUCUUAUAUUUAACUUCCUUUGCUAUUCCUAAGGUACUGGAGACUGAUUCUAGAGUCUGCUAAGAAGGCAGGCUGCCAGUGAACUACCUCCCCAGCAGUGCCCACAUACUGCCCCCCUCAACAACGGCUCUCUUCAAAGUAGGACCAGUCAUUUAGAGCAGAUCCAGAAAGGUCUUGGAACAAAGAUGUCCAAGGAUUCAGAGUUCCAGGCAUUGGAUGCGGUCUUUCUGUAUUUCUAGAAGGUAUGUGAGAAGGCAAGGAGCCUGGGUCACGACGGUGAAGUUCUUAUCGCUAGGUUUAAUUCCUUUAUGAAAGAGAAGCCAGAGAUUCUUGCCUGUCCAUUCUGCCUUGCAAGAUCACAAAGAAGAAAGGCAGUUUGUGAAAAGUGGCCCUCAUUAGGCACAGCGUCUGCAGGUAUCUUCAAUUUGUUCUUCCCAGUCAACAAGAAUCCUACCAGGCAGGAUUCAUAUUACAAAUA